GGGUCCCAAGGAUGAGGCUCAUGGCUGGGCAGGAGGGCUCAGCUGCUGCCAGAGGUGUCUGUCUUCUUCGCCCUGGGAGCUUUCCAACAGGAAAGGGGCUACUGACUCCGGCUUCCUCAAGAAAUCCUUUUCGAAACUGCUUGCCUCAAUUCCCUCCCUGAAUUCUCUUUUGUUCAGACAUCAAUGGUUGAGCUGGAGGUGCGUUCAAGGAAGGGACCUACCCCAGACCGGAUCUAUUGUCUCCUGAGGCUGGGAGAACAGCUUUCGUCACCACAACCACAAGUCCACAAUAAGUGGGAAAAGUCACUUUGAUCACCCAUCCUUGCCGUCCCCCACGAAGGGUCAAGAACCCCAUUCAAUAUGACCCAGCCCUUGGACUUCUGAAGAUGGCGUCCGUCCAAAGCAUUUCACCAACUCACAAUACACCCCGGAGCUUUUCCCUUCCAACUAAGCCAACAACCAACACAAUGAAGCUUCCCUGCAGCCAUCCACAAGGACAAGGACAUGAGUUUCCAACCUUUUAAUGCAGGUAGCCCCUCGAGUUACGACCACCGUUAAGCCACUCGAGAUCUCUGUUGCUACGUGAAACAGUUGAGUUUUGCCCCCGUUUUACGAUCGUUCUUGCCACCGUUGUUAAGCGAAACAUUGCAGUGGUGAAGUUAGUGACAUGGUUGUUAAGUGAAUCCUCCCUUGAGUUUCCUGUCAGAAGGUCGCAAAGGGGAUCACAUGACCCCAGGACACUGCAACCGUCAUAAAAAUGAGUCCGUUGCAGUGUCCCGUGGAGUCUCUUUUGUGAUCCCCUUUUGUGAGCAGUGGGGAAGCCAGAUUCACUUAACAACCGUGUCACUAACUUAACCACUGCUGUGAUUCAUUUAAGAACUGCAGCAAUGGGGCAAAAUGCAGUUAGUAACUGUUUAUGGAGAUUCCAGGUCACCAAGGUGCUUUUUUCCAAAAACUGGACUUUCUUGGUUCAUUCCUUUGAAAACAUUUCACUUCUCAUCCGAGAAGCUUCUUCAGUUCUAACUUAACAACUGUCUUGCUUAGCAAUGGGCAUUUCGGGCUCAAUUGUGGUCAUAAGUCAAGAACUACCUGUAUUAUUAUUAUUCAUUAAACGUGAAACUCAGUCAACUGAACAUUUAAAAAUGUGUCACAGAUACCACUGACUGGUGCUAAUGGUUGAUACGGGUUGCUGCCAGCGUCCUAGGUAUCAACCAAGUCCCUUCUUAAGAUGCACAAUGUUCUGAGUAGCGCAGUUUUUUGCAGUUCCGCUGGUGUUAUUGCAGGAAGCUGCAAUUUCUUGAUGUAUUUUGCAAAAUUUUUGGACAUGGUACCAAGUGCCCCGAUGACAAUGGGUAUCACUGUGACAUGUUUCAUCCAUAGCUGUGUAGUUUCUAUAGCCAGGGCGCAAUAUUUCAUGAUUUUUUCCAGUUCUUUUUCUUCGACUCUGGCGUCUCCUGGUACCGCGAUGUCAAUAAAUUGUACCUAUUCUUA